UACGAGGGGGGCGAGCGUUGUUCGGAAUUAUUGGGCGUAAAGGGUGCGUAGGCGGUUUUGUAAGUCUUAUGUGAAAUCUAUGGGCUCAACUCAUAGACUGCAUGAGAAACUGCAGGGCUUGAGUAUGGGAGAGGUGAGUGGAAUUCCUGGUGUAGCGGUGAAAUGCGUAGAUAUCCGGAGGAAUACCAAAGGCGAAGGCAGUGUCCUGGCUGGCAUCUGACGCUGAGGCGCGAAAGCUAGGGGAGCGAACAGG
rnacentral:rRNA from 1 species